GAAAAUUUAGUUAAUAAAUAACAUUAAUUUGUCAAAUUAAAAUAAUUUUAAAAAUAAUUUUUA
rnacentral:tRNA from 1 species